CUGGUUUGGACCCUCCUGUCUUGCCUGAUGACCUGCUGGAGAGAGCCCGAGGGGUCAGGGAUGUGGUCGUUUUCCAUUCUGUGCCUCUGUGUGUUCACUGCUUCUGUGACUACAGACUCCACGGGAGCUUUGCUGGAGCAGAAGCCUAGGUGGAGUCUGGUCCUACGUGGUCAAGCUGUGACCCUGCGCUGUAUCUUGAGGGAUUCCCAGUACCCCUGGAUGGGCUGGUACCAGCAGGAUCUCCAACAACAACUACAGUCGCUGGUGUCUCUGCGGAGUUCUGGGGACAAAGAGGUCAAGUCUGUCCCCGGUGCUGACUACCUGGCCACACGGGUCACUGAUACAGAGCUGAGGCUCCGAGUGGCCAACGUGACCCAAGGCAGAACCUUGUUCUGCACCUGCAGUACAGACACGGUGGUACACUCUGCUGGGGAGCUGGAACAAAAACCACAUAGGCAGACUGCGCUGCCUCCCAACCCUUGCUCCUCCGCAAGCCCGUCUGAAACUUCUUCCUUUCUAGCCAGACCUCCCCAGUCCCGUUGCUCCAGGACGAGGUGGGCUCUCCCUGACUUACCGCUUGUUCUUUUUCUGCCGGAGCCACACAGGGAACUUAACCUCAGGUUUUGGCGAAGCUCAGAGCACAGGCUUGGGAGACGUCUUUUUCAUCUUUCACACUUCCGGUUCUGAUUCUGUUGGAUGCAGGCAACGAGUGCGGCCAUCCCAGAAGGCAGCUGUGCAAACUGAGCCACACAGUCCCAGGGUGGACUCUUCAGGAAGGCGUGAUGCAGAGCAGCCUGCAAACAUUCGCCAGCCAUUAUUAGCUCCUCUUUCCCCAGUAUGCAUAGCGAAGGGCAGGCCAAACAUGAUGCCGGUGUCUUUUCCCAUGGGCUGAAUUGAUGAAAAGGCAGCUCCGGCUACACCAGUGGUUCUUAACCUGUGGAUUGCUACCCCUCUGGGGUCGAACAACUCUUUCGCAGGGGUCCCCUAAGUCCAUUUGAAAACACAAAAUUUACACUCUGAGUUAUAACAGUGGCAAGAGUAUCCCUAUAAAGUAGCAAUGAAAAUAAUUUUAUGGUUGGGGUCGCCACAACCCAUUAAGAAGUUUGAGACCCACUGGACCACACCCUUGAAACAAAUACCCUUGUUUCUAUGAUGCCAGGUUUUUAUUAUACCCACUCUGACUUUCCAAACCCAGUCUUAAUAUGUUCUUUGGAUCCCCUUAUUAAACUAAUUUAUUUUGCAUUAAUUAUGCUAUUUUAAGUAAAAUAUUGUUUUACCUGUCAUUUAACACAGCAAAUAAUUACAAAAGAAAGCUAAAGUCUCCUUCCCAUGUCAAACUUUGCAGCUGGAUGAUACUAAAUGCAGAUUUUUUUCCUUGCCAGUUAUUACCAGUUUAGUGAAAACAGUUACAAAAAAAGCUGAUGGAGACUCUGUCUAAAUAAAAUAUUAAAAAAGCAAAUCAUGUUGAGCUGGUGAAAUGGCUUAGUUGGCAGAGCAUCUGUCUUGUAAGCCUGAAACCCUGAGGACAUGGAUUCUGUAUCCAGACUCCAUACUCAGGCUAACACAGGCACACGCAGGGAGGAGGGGUGGAGAGAUAGAGACAUACUGAUCACCAAUUGCUCUAAAUAAGAGAUAGAUUCACUACUGGGCUAAUUUGAACUCAUCCUUUAGAAAACAAGGCCCUCAGAAAAGCAUAAGGUUUCUAGAGUUUAGGGUUCAGUAAAUGUUGGACUAGAAAGCCCAAGUCUGAGCUGGAUUUGCAACCUAAGCAAAAUUACCUACAGAGUAAAGAGCAGAUCAAGCCGGUCAAAUAGUUAGACCAAGAGGAAGGCUGGCCAGCUGGUGGGGGCAGAAAGGAGAGGGGAGAGGAUCUGGGAAGGAGAGGAGAGAGGAAGAAAGGAAGGGAAAGAGGGGGAGGGGAGGAAGAACGAGAGGGAGAAGGCCAAGAGUGAGCUAACAUGAAGUCCAGGGUUCUGAGCCAGAUCUGAGGGAGGCUGUGGGCAUCUAGGAGCUAUGGCAGUGAGGAACCACCAAGAAAAGUUAAUGCAGCCUCUUUGGUAGACCGGAUACUGGGGGCUGUUUCCCCUGCUCUGUGGAGAAUGAAGGGAUCUUUCCACCAGAGGGCACCAUUUGCCCAUAUAUUCUUCAUGGUGCUGAAGUUUAUUUGGUAGACCCACAGGGUUUCCUAGCUGCCAUGUCUGGCUCCCUCAUCGAUUCCUUCAGAUCUUCAGAAGCUCAUCUGCCUGUGACAUUGACAUGCCUCAUGCAGGAGCUGGCAGGAUAACUCAGGACCCAGAGUCCUGGCCACGGGUUUCCGUUCCUGAACUUUUCUAAAACUGUGCUGUUGAGUAGGACAUUUUUCUUAAAAAGAUUUUUUUAUUUGUUACAUAUACAGUAUUCUGUCUGCACGUAUCCCUUCAGGCCAGAAGAGGGCACCAGAUCUCAUUACAAAUGGUUGUGAGCCACCACAUGGUUGCUGGGAAUUGAACUCAGGACCUCUGGAAGAGCAGCUAGUGUUCUUAGCCACUGAGCCACCUCUCCAUCCCUGAGAAGCACACUUUUUAAUAAGACUCUCGGGACACUCUUCCUAGAAUAGUGUCUGUGGUAGAAACAGAAGCUUUUCCUCCGGAAGCGGUGUCAGCUACACUUGGAGGGCUCUUUUUCAACUCCCCAACUGUCACAGCAGCUUUCACUGCUUUUCUGACACCUUGGCCUGAACUCAGGGUUCACACCUCCCUACCCUCCUCUCACAUACGUGUUCAUACUCACAUACACAGCAGUAAGCGGAAGUGACCUACUAAUAUGUCUGCCUGGGGACCACUUGACUUCACACCUACGUUCCGUGUGCUCUGACAGCUUGUUGGCAUUACACACAUCUGGACUUAAGAACUAAACUGAAAUAAGAUAACUCAGCAGAGGAAAAUGAUGCAAAUGUAGUUAAUUCAAGUUUUACCAAGUGAGCACCUUCCUGAGGAACUGAAGACUUCAAGAAGCAGUUAGCAUCAAUACAUAUAAACACUGGCUUGCAUACAAAGUAGUGAUCUGUGAAAAUGUUGUAAGACAAGUGAAAACAAUUGGGUAGAGAAGUGACCAGGAAUGUAAGUGUUUGUAUAGUUUUUCCUCAGUCUCAGCUACUUUCAUGACAAGAAUGUCAUUGUCGUUCUGGUAAGGAAUAGGUGGGUGGAGAAUCUUACAAAAGGGAAUUUCAUUUGGGGCUUUUAGAAGCAACAAGUAUCAGGGAGAUCUUCUUGCACUUCCUGUGUUUAUUGUCUUCAGCUUAAAAUAAUUCUUAUGUCAAGGUAGCAUAAUUGGGGAUGUAUGUACUAAAAGAGCUCCCAAGGGCAGAAGCUUUCUUUUUGUAGGACUAUUCCAAGUUUGUCACCCACAGAGGUGACAUCAUUUUGUAAUUCCAAGACACUGAAGGACCCAGGCAGUGAUCCUCAAUGAUGUCUAGACAUCAUUAAAAGAGAGAAACAGCUCUAAAUCCCUAGAGGAAAGGAUAUACACUACUUAUGUAAGACUGUUGGGUUAUUGUGUGCCCUGAAUGUUUGCUGUAUGAAGUAUAUGCCUGUCAGUUUUCAUUGUCCACUUGACUACACUUAGAAUUGCCUAGAAGACAUGCGUCUGUCAUGUCUAUGAGGGUGUUUCUAGAGUUCAAGAGAGGAGGAGCUUCCAUCAUGAACAUGAGCACCACUAUUCUAUGGUCCACAAACACAGAUGAAUGAAGUGAGGAGAAAUUGGGGAAGCCCGCUGAAUUCCAGUUUCCUGAAUGCGUAUGUAAUGUGACCAGCUACAGUAUGUUACUAUUGUUAUACCUUCCCCUACAAGGAAGUACUCCCCUCCCCUACAAUGUAAACCCUUCCUUCCUUAAUUUGCUAUGUGUUCCGUGUUUCAUUCUAGAUAUGAACAAAUUUAGUAGUACAAAGUGUGUACUGAGCUUUUAAUUGAUAAUGAUAAAGGAUGAGUUUCCCA